AACCCAUGCAUAGGACAUUUCCGCAGUAAAUCCUUGAAUCUUUCCCAUGUUUCAGACAAGUUUUCAUCCUCCAUUUGGUUGAAUGAAGUUAGACCAUUUCAAGUUUGGCGUU